GCAUGUGAUCAGGUUGGCUAUAAUUAAAGGAAAUUACUUAUAAGUCUUUCUAAAGAUUGAGCUUUGAUAUUAAAUUAUACUAAUACAAAACUAAAAUUUUGGUUCCCUAUGUUAGAAUAAAGCAAGUUUUUCAUCAACUAUCAAUUUGCUUUUAGUAAAAUUCAGAGGUUCUGAAUUUUUAAUUCUGAAAUCUGUAUCUUUUAAAACUUCUCAGACUUAUAUCUCGGAAGUUCAACUUUUACUGUACCUUGCUGCAUGUGAUUUGCAGGUCACAUGUGAUUGCCUUCUGUUUUUUAAUCCCUGGGAAAGGUACAUCUUUUUGCUUGGCUGGGAUGGUAACUCUGUCCUUCAAUGUUUUUAUCAAUUCCUGUAACUUUUGUUCUGGUUCUAACACUGAUGUUGUGGCCUGACACUGAAAUGUUUUAUCUUGAAGGUGUAGAAAAGCAAUGUUUUCCUUCAGUAUAACUUGAUUCUGUACUCUUGGGUUUUCUUUAUAGGUCUGCAUUGUUCAGUAUAACCAGGAAACAUCCAUGUUGUUACUAAGAGUCCCUACUUUGUGUCCCUACACAAGAUACCAGGUCUCCCUAUGUUGCCCAAUCUGGCCUUGAACUUCUGGCCUCAAGCAAUCAUUCUGCCUUGACCUCUCAAUGUGCUGGGACUAAAGGUAGGGUAUGGGAUAUUUGAUCAGCAAAAUUAACUAGCUCAUGAGUUUGAAAGGCAGUCCAACUGGGGCACUGUCCCUUUGUUACACAUGCCAGUUCUUCGUCUUAUCCAUUUACGAAGUUUUAGUUAAGGAGAGCAUCAUUUAGGAGAAGAAUGAAGACUUGAUUGAGGACCCAAAGGAUGACCAAGAAGAGGUACAGGAGAAAACCCAGAAUUCUGCAGGGUCUUGGCGAUGCAAGUGUCAGAGCCAUUUGAACCAGAGCUACUCCAUCUUGAGUGAGGGCUAAGAAAACUGAGGCUGGGACUUGCUGGGCUGCAUUCCCAGGAGGGUAAGUAUUCCUAGCCUCUAGGUUAACGGAACAGAUUAAUAACGUUUACUAACAGACCCAGACUCAGGAAUGUCCUGAUAUCCUGAUGUCUUAAAAACAAAAGCACUCCUAAUUUUGCUUUAAAGAUAAAUAUCGAUCCUUGCAAAAUAUAGUAAUUAAGAAAACUAAUUGUUUAAAUCACAAACCUUUGUAGUAGAGCAAAUCUCCCCAUUUUUUUGUUAUCCUAUAUAUAAAUAAGCAUUGUACCUAGGGGUAGGCGCGUUCCUCCUCUUACUUUCAGGAACGCCCUACUCUGUCUAUAGAGUAGCUAUUCCUUCACCACUUUACUUCCUUAAUAAAUUUGCUUUUGCUUUGCACUGUGGACUUGCCCCAAAUUCUUUCUUCGGUGAGAUCCAAGAACCCUCUCUUGGGGUCUGGAUCAGGAGCUCUUUCUGGUAACAUAAGAAAAGAAAGAGAAAUUCAUGAAGGAGAGGGUGGUCUACUGUGUGAAAUGCCAAUGAGAGAUUAAG
rnacentral:lncRNA from 1 species